rnacentral:rRNA from 1 species
AUUCAGUCUGUCGGGGCGUGCGAGCUUGGUCGGAAAGAUCGGAAGGGCUUCCCGGGACCGGGGCCGNCCGGCCGCUCNUUUCACGUCNCGGCANACGCAUUUGANUCUCGUCCGAAGGACGCUGCAGCCGGCGGGGCANUGCAAACGUGACGGCCUGAAGGUCGGGAGAUGGCAGGUGGCCGGUGGCNCGCCNAGUGUGCGUCNCCGGUUGUUAGCCGUCCCGUCAGUGGCCCGUCNCCCCGCCGAGGUGUCACUAAGCCCCCCCACGGGGCUCCUCCGUCUCCUCUUGAAGGACGNGGGAUAGAUNGUCGNUGGUGAAGGCCGCCGACCCGUCGCACUCCUCGGGAGUGGACGAGCGUCGCGCCGUCACCGUAGGCGGCGGCAAGACCCGCCGGAGACCGGAGGCUAGCAGCGAGUAGGUCGGUCACCCACCCGACCCGUCUUGAAACACGGACCAAGGAGUCUAACAUGUGCGCGAGUCAAUGGGUCUUGAACAGGCCCAGGGGCACAAUGAAAGCAAAGGCCGGCCCCACGCCGGCCGAGUUGGGAUCCCGCCCCUCGUGGCGCGGGCGCACCAACGACCCGUCCCGUCCGGCUCGCCGGUGGGGCGGAGUGUGAGCGUACACGUUGGGACCCGAAAGAUGGUGAACUAUGCCCGGACAGGACGAGGCCAGAGGAAACUCUGGUGGAGGUCCGCAGCGGUUCUGACGUGCAAAUC